rnacentral:lncRNA from 1 species
GCCAGAAAACACAACCUAGACAGUGUCCCUCUGGAAGUGUCUGUUAAUAACACCGAUAUCCAACGUGUCGAGUGCUACAAACUACUUGGCAUUCAUCUCACCAAGCAUCUCACGUGGGGCGAACAUGUGAAAAAUACUACAGCUUCCUGUUAUGCUACAAUUGCAGUAUUGAGGAAGCUGAAACACCUGGCCCCGUAUAAUUUGCGUAAGACCUUGGCAGAAUCACUUGUCCUGUCGAAACUGGCUAAAUUUGGCAAAUGUCCGAGCAAAAGUAAUUUUGAACGGACAUUGAUCAGAUCACAAAAAAAAUUGUCACAUUAUACAUUUUUUUGCUGUGACAAAAUUCGAUUGCAAAUUCACUCAAUUUGCAUUUUGCAAUAAAAUUUACGAGGCAUUCUAGCAUUUUACUUUAACGUUGCGCCGGAAUGGCUAUACAUACUUGUCUUGUGACUUAGCCUAUAUAUAUCUUGUGACGUAUAUAUGUCCG